rnacentral:lncRNA from 1 species
AUGGCGAAUGUUCAAGCCAGGAUUCUUCAUCUGGAUCUCUCUAUCAUCAUUAUUUUCCUGAUUCAUGCAGAUUAUUCCAAAUCUAAUCAAGAGCAAAAGCUACAGCAGCACAUCAACAAAACAGUGUUUGUGGGGGAAACAGUUACACUUCACUGCAACAAAACCAAAUUAGAUGACGAUUUCACAUGGAAAAUGAACAACUCAGUUAUUUUUAGGCAGGUCUCUGAUAUUAACAUAACUAAGACAAACUUCAGCUCAAACAGGAUUCACAUCGACCCAGCAGCUCCAAGAGAGUUAACAAUACAACAAAUACAAGCGUCUGAUGCAGGAAACUACAGCUGUUACCCAGGAGCAAUAAGAUGGACAUUAACAAUAACAGGUUAUUACUUGAUUUCACUUCUUGGAUAUUCUUGUAAAAGAGUUUGGUUUAGCAAGUAUAUUUAAGUUUUUCACUAGUAACUAGUGAUUAGUGCUGGUUGACUGAUAUCAUGAGUGUUUGACUCUUGUGUGUCUGUCAGAAAUCAAGAUCAGACCAGAAUCUCUCAAACAAAUGUCGCUGUACAUCAUCAUCUUUUCAUUUUCUGGAGUCAUUAUUAUCUGUUUAAUUAUCACAAGCAGCAUCUGCAUUUACAGGUGAGAGACAUUUUUAACAUUUCUUACCCUCAGAAACACUGACAUGGUUUCAGCUCCACAUUGUUUUCAUUUCUUCUACUUUUUUAAAUGAUCUGCUACUUUUCAAAUGUGUAUUUGUAGGCAGUGUCUAUUCAAACAUGAGUUCAAAUAGCCGGCUUUUUUUUUUAUAAACUCUGCCCACUAUUGCUCAGAUAUUUAACCUUAAACACAAACAGCUCUUCACUUCUCGUUACAGUUUGUGUAAAUAACAUCUACCAUUUUCAUGCUUUUUAUACGUCUAAAUAGCCUCUGCCAUAUUUUUAUGCAUUUCAGAUUUCAUUGUUUAAUUCUUGUCCAAAACAAAAUUUAAAUUUUAAAACAAUAAUAAUUUUUUUUUUUUAACAUCUGACAUACAUCCACACAUGCUCCAUAAACAGUGAUCAAACACUGCUUUUCUUAUUAAAUUAGCUGCAUUCGGUUCUUCUACAAUUUCUGAAUCAUUUAAACAGGAAACUGAGACAGAAGAUCAACUCAGGUUCAGAGGAUGUGAGUAUAUUCACCACAGAACAGCUUAUUAUUUAGCACCUAAAUCUGCUCUUGAUUUAGAGGUUCAACUUCUAGAAAUAUAUAUAUAUAUAUAUAUAUAUAUAUAUAUAUAUAUAUAUAUAUAUAUAUAUAUAUAUAUAUAUAUAUAUACUUGUGUAUGAUCUAUACAGGUGAAGAUGACUUCUGACUGUGACAAACACACAAUAACAGUCUGUGUAAGUCAGUUAAACACACACCUCCAUCAUGUUUACCACAUCAUGUCUGUCACUGGCCUCCAACAAACAUCACUGACUCACUUCUUGAUGGAAACAUGUUGUGCAGUCAACCCACUGCUCUGUAAAAAUCACCUUUGUUCCAUCUAUGUGAGAUUGUACUUUUUUAAAUAUAAAUAACAGCUAUAAAUGAUCAUUUAUAAACAGCACAACACAUAUUUGAACAAGAGCUGAAAUGUCUGUUGUUUGUGUUUCACUUGUUUUAUCUUUGUUUUCUUCAGGUCUAUAGUCUUCAUACAGUUUCAUGAGCAUCUUUUCUUCUGAGGACAGCAGAUGAGCAUCUCAGUACAGAAAGAUGUUUGAGAACGAGACCAUGAUGGUCACAGACUUUUUUUUAGCUUCAAGCCAUGAAUCCAUCCAGUCGGAGGAUUUUUAAACACGAUUGAUAUUUUAAAUUGAUUUUAUAACUUUAUAACUGAACUAAUUGUGUAUCCUCCAGUUGUUUGUUGUGUUUUCCCUGUAAUUAUCUACAAAGUCAUCAAAUGUAUGAAGGCUAGUGUUUUAAAAUCUGAUCAGUUUCAUAUAGCAGAGGAACACACUUUUAUCAAACACUCAGACGCUUCGUCCUUUAAUCUUGAGUCUGUGUACAAAUCUUUCUGUUAUCCCUUUGACUUGACCUUUCAAAUAAUUUACAUCAUUUAUGUAGACACAAAUGUAAAGAUUAAUAAAGAAACCUUCAAAAUCACCUUCAUAUAUACAGUUCUUCACUGCAUACCACAUCAUUGUAGUUUAAAUGCAAUAUGAUAAGUUUUA